UUGAGUAUUUAUUUCGUCCUCUGUGACAUAUUCUUGCCCCCAGUGACGUUCAGCUUGGCCACGUGACCUGCUGUGGCCAAUGGGAUACAAGUGGGCGUGAUACAGGCGAGGGGCAGACUAAAGUGUGAGUGCACAGCUUGGCCCGACCUGGCUGGCUUCUGCCCUCCUCCCAGGGCUGUGUGCUGCAGACGGAGCCUGCUCUGGCAGCUUGAGUUCCAGAACAGAAGCUAUAAGAAGACAUGAGGAACAGCCCAGAGCAGAGCUAUGUCCUUCUGUAAUAUGAUAGAGAAACUAAGGUUCGCUGUUAGCCAAUGGGAUUCCGAAGUUGCUUGUUGCCAUGACAGAAGCUGUAACGCUGGAGGGGAAAGCCUUGCUCUUUCUCACUGAAGCCAUCCACAUUACCCUAAAACUUUUUGUGAAGAGUGAAAAAAUACCAUCACCUAUGAGACACCAACUGGUAAGGUAUUUGGAAUGGUUCAGACUUUUGCCGGGGCCUUUGAUGACGUUCACCUCACGUCCCAGCUUACAGCAAUGUUCUGAGGAUCUCCAAUUCUUACACGUUCAGCCUUAACUUUUGUCACAAGGUGCAGAUUCUUAUACCCACUUGAUUGUCCACAAAACUUUGACCUCAGUGCUGGAAAUGAAACUUUGGAUGUCUUUUGGGGCAUUAGGUCCUUUCUCUUCAUUUCCUGCAUUCAGUAAGGGUGCUUACAUCUCCCCAGUCACCCAAGCCAAGUAGGAAUGGAGCUGGCUUCCCUCUUCUCUCUCUGCCCUUAUAUUUAUCUGGUGAUCAGUUCUGGUGGUGCUAUCCCAAAUUCUUUGUAGGAUAGAGAUGGUUAGAAAUAACUCACAUAGCUGGGCAUAAUGGUGCAUACCUGUAAUCUCAGCACUUGGGAGGCUGAAGCAGGAAGAUUUCCAUGAGUUCCAGGCCAUCCUGGGGAAGAUUGAGUUCAAGGCAGGCCUGAACUGCAUAGUGAGACCCUGUCUCAAAAUAAAAAACACCAAAGUCUUAGCUGGGCAUGGUGGCACACACCUGUAAUCCCCGCACUCGGAGGCUGAGGCAGGAGGAUCGUUGCAAGUUCCAGACCAGCCUGGACUACAAAGUGAGCUCAAGGCCAGCAUAGCAAGACCCUCUCUCAAAAAGACAAAAAAGAAGUCUUUCAAACAAAAAGAAAACAAACUAUCCAAGCCCAGCAUUAUUUCCAUGAGGAUGAUGACCGAUCUGUGGAACUAGAACCGGAGCAUUCUGACACCGAUGACCAGGAGCACGGGCAUCCCAGUGCGGUAACACAGAGGGUGCGUGGGGCUGCUGGUGCUGGGGCUAAAGUGUCUGGGGCCUGAGCUCUUUUCUUUGUGAUGAGAAAGUACAAUAACUUCUCUCAUGCCCACGCCAAGGGCCUUACACUUCUGUUCUGCAUGUAACGUGGUCAUUUAGACUUCGGGGCCAAACUCUCUAGGUCCGAGUUGGAGCUGCAGCCCCCGCUCCCUCCGUGAGUUCAGAGAACCUCUGCCUGCCGCGGCCUCCCCACCCACACACUCGGCGCAGCUGGCUUUCCUAGCCCAGGAGCUCUGCACCCCAGACUCAGUCAGUCACAGAUUAGUAAAUAUCUUCUAGAACUUUGGUCUGCACUGAGCAUCUAGAGACUUUCCUUGGCAUCAGCGCCUGAGAGCAGUAGGGUGUGACGACAUCCCAGACAUCUGCCUCAGACUGCGAAUCACGAGUAAGCCGGUGGUGACUUAGGAACGUAAGCGGACUGCACAGGCUACACGCACACAGUGUGCCGUUUGUGUGAGGGGCUUGAGCAUGUGUGGGCUUUGCUGUCAGUGCGGGUUCUGGGAACAAUCCCUGUGGGCUCCAAGGAGCGGGGUAUUCGUAGUACCUGCCUUGCAGGUUGUUACGCGUGAAAUGAGUUACUGCAGAUAAAGCACAGGCAGACGUGCGCGGUACAACGUAGACACUAUCGAAGGCAUACGCUUCGAUAUGGUUCGAAAUGCCACUUUAAAUGGCGUUCUGCUUACCGAAUUAAUCAA
ensembl:lincRNA